rnacentral:rRNA from 1 species
CCUACGGGAGGCUGCAGUAGGGAAUAUUGCUCAAUGGGGGAAACCCUGACGCAGCGACGCCGCGUGGGGGAUGAAGGUUUUCGGAUUGUAAACCCCUGUUGUUAGAGAAGAUAAUUACGGUAUCUAACGAAUAAGCAACGGCUAACUCCGUGCCAGCAGCCGCGGUAAUACGGAGGGUGCAAGCGUUACUCGGAAUUACUGGGCGUAAAGUGCGCGUAGGCGGGAUAGCAAGUCAGAGGUGAAAUCCUAGGGCUUAACCAUAGAACUGCAUUUGAAACUGUUAUUCUAGAGUGUGGGAGAGGUAAGUGGAAUUCUUGGUGUAGGGGUAAAAUCCGUAGAGAUCAGGAGGAAUA